GGAACUCGAGAGGAGCACC
rnacentral:snRNA from 1 species